UGUAUAAUGGGUCAGCGACUUAUAUUCUGUAGCAAGGUUAACCGUAUAGGGGAGCCGAAGGGAAACCGAGUCUUAACUGGGCGUUAAGUUGCAGGGUAUAGACCCGAAACCCGGUGAUCUAGCCAUGGGCAGGUUGAAGGUUGGGUAACACUAACUGGAGGACCGAACCGACUAAUGUUGAAAAAUUAGCGGAUGACUUGUGGCUGGGGGUGAAAGGCCAAUCAAACCGGGAGAUAGCUGGUUCUCCCCGAAAGCUAUUUAGGUAGCGCCUCGUGAACUCAUCUUCGGGGGUAGAGCACUGUUUCGGCUAGGGGGCCAUCCCGGCUUACCAACCCGAUGCAAACUACGAAUACCGAAGAAUGUUAUCACGGGAGACACACGGCGGGUGCUAACGUCCGUCGUGAAGAGGGAAACAACCCAGACCGCCAGCUAAGGUCCCAAAGUCAUGGUUAAGUGGGAAACGAUGUGGGAAGGCACAGACAGCCAGGAUGUUGGCUUAGAAGCAGCCAUCAUUUAAAGAAAGCGUAAUAGCUCACUGGUCGAGUCGGCCUGCGCGGAAGAUGUAACGGGGCUAAACCAUGCACCGAAGCUGCGGCAGCGACGCGUAUGCGUUGUUGGGUAGGGGAGCGUUCUGUAAGCCGUUGAAGGUGUGCUGUGAGGCAUGCUGGAGGUAUCAGAAGUGCGAAUGCUGACAUAAGUAACGAUAAAGCGGGUGAAAAGCCCGCUCGCCGGAAGACCAAGGGUUCCUGUCCAACGUUAAUCGGGGCAGGGUGAGU
rnacentral:rRNA from 1 species